CCAACCUGGUUGAUCCUGCCAGUAGCCAUAUGCUUGUCUCAAAGAUUAAGCCAUGCAUGUCUAAGUAUAAAUAACUACACAGUAAAACUGCGAAUGGCUCAUUAAAACAGUUAUAGUUUAUUUGAUGGUAUCUUGCUACAUGGAUAACUGUGGUAAUUCUAGAGCUAAUACAUGCAAUCAAGCCCCGACUUCUG
rnacentral:rRNA from 1 species